rnacentral:rRNA from 1 species
UACGUAGGGGGCAAGCGUUGUCCGGAUUUAUUGGGCGUAAAGAGCGUGUAGGCGGCUAGAUAGGUCUGCUGUGAAAACUCGAGGCUCAACCUCGAGCUGUCGGCGGAAACCAUCUGGCUAGAGUCCGGAAGAGGAGAGUGGAAUUCCUGGUGUAGCGGUGAAAUGCGCAGAUAUCAGGAAGAACACCUAUGGCGAAGGCAGCUCUCUGGGACGGUACUGACGCUGAGACGCGAAAGCGUGGGGAGCGAACAGG